GAUUGACUGAGCGGCGGACGGGUGAGUAACGCGUGGAUAACCUGCCUCACACAGGGGGAUAACAGUUAGAAAUGACUGCUAAUACCGCAUAAGCGCACGGCAUCGCAUGAUGCAGUGUGAAAAACUCCGGUGGUGUGAGAUGGAUCCGCGUCUGAUUAGGUAGUUGGUGGGGUAACGGCCCACCAAGCCGACGAUCAGUAGCCGACCUGAGAGGGUGACCGGCCACAUUGGGACUGAGACACGGCCCAAACUCCUACGGGAGGCAGCAGUGGGGAAUAUUGCACAAUGGGCGAAAGCCUGAUGCAGCGACGCCGCGUGAGUGAAGAAGUAUCUCGGUAUGUAAAGCUCUAUCAGCAGGGAAGAAAAUGACGGUACCUGACUAAGAAGCCCCGGCUAACUACGUGCCAGCAGCCGCGGUAAUACGUAGGGGGCAAGCGUUAUCCGGAUUUACUGGGUGUAAAGGGAGCGCAGACGGCGAUGCAAGUCUGGAGUGAAAGCCCGGGGCUCAACCCCGGGACUGCUUUGGAAACUGUAUGGCUAGAGUGCUGGAGAGGCAAGCGGAAU
rnacentral:rRNA from 1 species